ACAUGCAUACAACAUAGUGUUAAUGCACCAGAUCCCAUUAAAACUCCGCAGUUAAGCACGCUCAGGCUAGAGUAGUAUUGGGAUGGGUGAUCGCUCAGGAAGUCCCAGUAUUUUACAUGCC
rnacentral:rRNA from 1 species